rnacentral:rRNA from 1 species
AGUGAACGCUGGCGGUAGGCCUAACACAUGCCAGUCGAACGGCAGCACAGUAAGAGCUUGCUCUUACGGGUGGCGAGUGGCGGACGGGUGAGGAAUACAUCGGAAUCUACUUUUUCGUGGGGGAUAACGUAGGGAAACUUACGCUAAUACCGCAUACGACCUACGGGUGAAAGCAGGGGAUCUUCGGACCUUGCGCGAUUGAAUGAGCCGAUGUCGGAUUAGCUAGUUGGCGGGGUAAAGGCCCACCAAGGCGACGAUCCGUAGCUGGUCUGAGAGGAUGAUCAGCCACACUGGAACUGAGACACGGUCCAGACUCCUACGGGUGGCAGCAGUGGAGAAUAUUGGACAAUGGGCGCAAGCCUGAUCCAGCCAUACCGCGUGGGUGAAGAAGGCCUUCGGGUUGUAAAGCCCUUUUGUUGGGAAAGAAAAGCAGCAGGUUAAUACCCCGCUGUUCUGACGGUACCCAAAGAAUAAGCACCGGCUAACUUCGUG